CCCCCAGUACUGGGGAUUGAACUCAGGGCCUUCCCACUGAGCUUCAUCCCCAGAUCUUUUUUUGUUUUUUUCAGUUUGCAGAUAAAAGACAUGUUUAUUUUCAUGACUCGAACAUCAUCACACAGGUUUAACAAUCCUUAAGAACCAGUAUUACGUCUAUCAACGUUAUAUCACAUUAAAACCAUAACAUUUCACCCCUGCAGCUGAAACAAGCAACACUGUCCUCCCACCUGCCUUGUCUGGGCCAAGCUCCAGGCUCAGGGGAGCUCUGUGGUUGCCUCCCCUGCCCAGGGGUCUGUGAGAAGUGGUGAGAGGAGCAAAAGGCAUCUUUUUUAAGUUUAUUUUUGAUUUUGAAACAGGGUCUUGCUAAGUCGCUCAGAUGGGUGCAAACGGGCCACCUUCCUACCUCAGCCUCCCCGACACAUUUCUUGUUGCGUUUGUUAGUGAGUAUGCGUAACACUCAACGCUCACUUUCCUUGUUUGUUAGUGAGUAUGCGUAACACUCAACGCUCACCUUCUUUGUGUGGAGUACCUUGUUUUUUCCCUUCCUCUGCCCGACCUCCAUCUUUUUCCCUUCCCCUUGGACACAAUCUUUCUCCCUACCUCCUAUUACUGGCCUUUCAUCUGACUCCUUAUCUUCACUCUGGGUUUCUUGCAUAAGACAAACCAUGUGAUAUCUAAGCUUGUGUCUCUGACUUUUCCAGAAAUAUUUCUCAUAAGUAAAACAAAAGAAAAAAAUUGAAAUAUUUUCCCAUGACAAUUAAGCUCAGUGCUUCUAGAAAGAAGUGAAGAAGAGGAGGAGGAGGAAGAGGAAGAAGACGGACCCCAGCAUUGGGUGACCUGCGCCUAGGUUGCUGCAGAACCCUCUAAACUCCAGGCAGCAUCGUAUGCUUUGCCCCAGGAGCAUCCUUCAAGCCGGACCUGAGCUACUGAAGGGCAGAUGGUGUCUCCUUCGACCCGGACCCUAGGAAACCACCCAGUGGAACAUGCGUCAAUUCUCCACAGCCUCUGGGAUGCAUAUGGGAGACUCACACUAAGGUAAAACCCCAGAUAUCAUCAGUAACUACCUGGCCAUGGCAUUGAGAGAGAGAGAGAGACAGAGAGAGAGAUACAGAGACAGAGACAAAGACAGAGACACAAAGAGAGACAGAGACAGAGAGAGAAACAAAAAUGUCUUACUGAGGGUUUGACCCUGGUCUGACUGCUACUUCCUGGGUCCAAGUGUCUAAUUUGUGCUCUAAAAGACAGAAGCUUCACGAUGCUACAACUUCGUUCUGUGAUAGUCAAGUCCUGACCAUCAAACCCUCCUUGAUGAAAACCCUCCACUCUCCAAGGUACCUGGAAUUGUAAAGGUGGGCAGCGGGCAUGGUCCAUCUUUAAAUGGUUGGUAAGCAGAACUCUCCAGGGAACAUUAUGGUGUGCUCAGUAUUAAAAUGGAUUUUAAAAUUUACAACAUUUAUGCAAAACAUUGAAAAUAAUUCACAUUGAUCUCCUUGUGCUCAUUUGCUUCGGUCAGCAUUAUUGGAAUGGGACGACAGGAUUUGCCUUUUAAUUGGCCUUUUCCAGAUUUCUGGUGAGAUUCCUACUUCCACCAGCUAGGGGAACACGCAGCCCCAACAAAGCCCCUCGGGGUACAUCUUCAGGAUGGUGCACACAGGAACACUAAUUUAUGAACAGCAAUGGAAGCUGAGUAUACAAUUCCUUAUCCCACACCAGGGUAAGUGUACUCGGCUGAUUACUACCUGGUGCGCUCAGAAUCCUUGGUUAAAUAAGCCAAAAGCCAGCUGCAGUUCUUAUUUGUAAGCCGGAAUUCCUCAAAAGCAAAUGAGAAAGGAAAGAGUGACAAGGACAUGAAGAUCGUUAACAUCGCUAUUAAGCAAAGCAUGAUCUGGCGGCCACAGCCACACACCUUCAGGGACACCUGCAGCGGACACGGGGGUUCUCCAAUCCAGGGGACAACGCCGAGACCAAAGUGCCCCUUGAUCAAAUUUCUGCUGAGAGCUUUGAAGUUGACUUCUUGCCUCUUGACCCUGUCAUCUUCAAAUGCCACUGCCAAUGAGGAAACUGAGGGAUCAUAAAGAACUUUGUUCAAGAUCUCAUGGCAAAAAAGUGGUCAAGCUGUGACUUGGUCCAAGCAUCUGAACUCCCAGCCAGUGCAGGACACCACAGUUGACAGUGUGGUUAUGAGGUGACUCUAGCCCAUUUCAAAAGAAAUCUUCUGAAUAUCGUGAAGAAAGUGAAAGCUGAAGAACUAUUGCUGUAGUCUACGUCAAAUAGAGGACCAUGCAACUGUAAGGUCCUUUGAAUGCUGGAAGUGAAAGCAGCAGGUGAAGCUACCGAAAAGGUGAUGAUUGCUCUAUCCCAAUGACAACAGUCUGCUCUCCCAAGCUCCAUUAAAUGAGGGUGUUGCCAACAGGAUGCAUGCAGGAGAAGUCUGCUGGGGGACUGCAUGGGGAAAACUUGCUUUCCCAAUGAAGAGACGGGUGAGACUGUCUACUUUGCUUACCUCAGUUUCCUCUUCCUUUCCACAGAGGAGUGAGACAUGUGGCAGUGCUGACCUUGAACUUGUGAUCCUCCUACCUCAAUCUCCCAAGUAGCUGAGGUUCUGAGCAUGUGUCAUCAUGCUCCAGCAAGUCUUAAUUUUUUAAGCCACUGAAAGUCAAAUUUUCUGUUAUUUACAGCUAAAUGCAUUUCUAAGGAUAAAGAAAAUUACAAUUUUGUAAAAAUCCACAUGUCGCUGACUUUUCUAUCAAUAAAACUGUAUACAAAUUGCAGGAAUAAAUUGGAAAUACAGAA